GCAUCAGUGGUUCAGUGGUAGAAUUCUCGCCUUCCAUGUGGAAGACCUAGGUUCAAUUCCUAGCCAAUACA
rnacentral:tRNA from 1 species